rnacentral:misc_RNA from 1 species
UCCUAGGCAUUCACCAUAGACUCUUAUUACUUUGACCAUAUUUUUAUCUUCCAUCUCUAUUUUGCCAAUUUGUUUAUACAACAUAGAAUAAUAUAUAUCUUUGUUUAAUCCAUGUCAAUAUAUAUUUUAUUUUUUAUAUUAUUUGAAUAAAACAUUCAAAAACAUGAACAUCUAAAAACAUAAAAAAUAAAAUAUAAAAUCAAUGUUUAAAGUAUAAAACAAAACCCUGGCAACAACUUACUCUCCCGCGAACUCGCAG